AGAUCUAAUGGUAUUCACUGCUUGCUCAAUUAAGUUCACAAAUGCAUCACCAUGCAAAUGAUAGAGACUGUCUCUAAGAACUAAAUCUAAAUGAUAAUCAUAAAUGAUAGAUACUCAUGGCCACAGCAGCAACUCUUGCCCUAUUGCUAAUUUUAAGGAUUACUUCCUCAGCCCUCUACCUUCCAUCGACUCUAUAAAAUGUACUGGAGUCUGAAACUCAACUCGAAGAAGAGAAAAUUAUAAGGAUAGUAUUGAGCAAUUUUGACAUGCCUACAGUAAGAGCAAUUACUUGGUUACCUAGCCAUUCGAAAUCUUACGAUGUAUGUUGGCUAUAGUAGAUCCAUUGUAGGAAUAGGAUAUGCACCUAGAUAGGAUUUGUAGAUCCUGAU
rnacentral:lncRNA from 1 species